AUCUAAGCAUGUGCUGUUUUCCUUCUAACAUCAGAACCUGUGACUGACGAUGCGCAAGCAUCUUCUGAAGGUGACCAAACCCCUGAUAAGAACAAGAAAAAGAACCGCUGCUUUUCUUGCCGGAAGAAAGUGGGCCUUACUGGUUUUGACUGUCGCUGUGGCAACCUGUUCUGUGCCAUCCAUCGCUACUCUGACAAACACGACUGUCCGUAUGAUUACCGGAGUGCAGCGGCUGCACGCAUACGCAAGGAGAACCCCAUCGUGGUGGCUGAAAAAAUUCAGAAGUUAUGAGGACUAAGUGCAAUAAAAGUCUCUAAGACUUUGUGAAUUUGAACAAUGGCAACUUGGAUGAAAAACACCCGACAUCGUGGCUUCAUUUGUUCAAGGUAGUUGAAGGCAGGCGGGGUGGGGCGACAUGGUCGCAGCAAAAAGUCAAGACACGUCCCUUACUAGUGUUUCCCUCCCUCUCUUUCUCUCGCUCUCUCUCUGCUAGUGACUGCAGCUAAAUCUGAGUGUCUGUGUUUUGGGCUUGUAUGAAAGUGUGUGUGUGCGCGCGCGCGUGUGUGUUUGCAUACAUCUGCUUGAGAGUUGGGGAGAGAGUAAAGUAGGGGCUUGACGGACAUUUGUUUUGCCAUGGGGAGGGAGGGGAUAUACAUUUUAGGCCUUUUUUUGUUUCUCAGCUUAGAGGGAUCGUGUUAGUCAUUUUUAUUUGUACAAUCCCUGUGGGUCAUUGAAAUAAAAUGGGUAUAAGGAGUUUGGGAAUGUGCCACAGCCUGGAUAAUGAAACCAUCUUAUUCAGAAGGUGUUGGUUCAAAAAGAGAAACAAAAAGAAAUCAUGUGUCAGACCUUUUUAAGGGCUUUGGAAUAUUUUUUGUCUUAGACUUUAAAAUUUCUGUAACCUUAAUUUUGAAAUUGCUUCCCCCCGCCCCCCUCUUUAGCUCUCAGCCUUUGGAUCACCACAUGUUGAAGUCCGAAGGCUCAGCAUUUUUUAUUUUUAUUUUUUUUUAGUCAUUUCUUUCUUUAUGUUGACAUGCAUGGAUACUGGGUACAUGAACAGCUAUUGAUUGGGGAGGUAAAGGUCAGAGCUGACGGAGAACCUUGACUUAACCGAGUGAUUGAAUCCUGAUUUUUUUUUUUUUCUUGUUUUAAUGAGCGUAUGACUUCAGAAGAUCUAUAUUAAUAUAUUCUAGUUAGCUUGAAUUGUGUGAUUGCAUUCUAUUUAUUUUAUAUUGUUUGGUAUGUGCUGGAGGAUUGGUGGCAUGUGUCAGCAGAUUGUUAGGAUUUGCACUUUGCAGUUUUAUUUAAUUAAUUCCAUCCUUACUCUAUAACCAUGAAAGUAAAAUAAUAUACAACCUCUCAUAUGGAUUGGAGUGCAGUUUUGCUGCAAUCUGCGCAUUAAGAUUGCCUUUUUCUCACUUUUUUUUUUUUUUUUCCAUUGAAAUAAAGCACAACAAUGGAUAUCGACUGCAGAGCACAAAAUAUGUGCCAACCCUACUUGGUUUUGUUCAGCAUUUUGGUCAUUUGAAGUUCAUAUCUGAGCUAUACAGCAGGCUCAGAAAUAAAAAGCCUUGUUUUAGUGAUGAGGUGUAUUAUGAGGUUUUCCUUGAAAACCUUUUUUUUUUUUUUUUUUUUUUUUUUUUGUGCUUUUUUGUUUUUGGAGUCAGUUAGGCUCCAUGUUUCUCUAACCACCAGCAGACCACUGACACAUGCUGAAUGAAAACUGACCUGGGUCACGGUUAAGCUACACAAAAACAUGUUCUGCUCAGCUACAGCAAAGAUUGUCGCCGUGCUGUGCUUUCCUUUUUUGUUUUCUUUUUUUUUUUUUUCUUUUUCUUUCUUUUUGUCUUACAUAGUCUGAUUCAGACGAGUCCUUAUGCAAAGAUCGCUUCUGGCUAGCUUGUUUUCAGGAAGAUCUGACCUGAUGCAUGUGUGCAGUUGGGACAUAAAGCGCAGCGCUGCAAGUUGACUGCAUAGUUGGAAAUGUCGGAGCUGUGGUCUGAAAAAAGGCAACACUCAGCAGUAGCACAAUGCAUGGCUGAAACCUUUGGGGCUGAAGUUAUCAGGACUCAACAGUUUUUGUUUUUUUUCUUUUUUUUUUCCAAAUGUAAAUAACAUAUGGCUCCAAUUCAUAUAGUAUAAUCUUUAUGUAGAUUAUUGCCAGGUAACUAAGGUGAUGGAUUGAGGUGAAGAAUAGUACUAUGUGUAUUAAAGUGCUUUUCAUAAUUAUCCAAAAAAAAAAGUGCCCUUACUGGCACUGACAAUUUUACCAAUUUAUUACCCCAUUUAAUGUACAAUUAUAACAUGUAAAAUUUUGUGUUUUCUGUAAGCCACCUGCUACUUGUAUCUUCACCAAGCCAUGCAUCUUCUAUUUUUUACAAUCAUAAUGUUUAAAAUAAAAACAAACAAAAG